rnacentral:rRNA from 1 species
CGGAAGGAUCAUUGUCGAGACCUGCCCAGCAGAGAGACCCGCGAAC